rnacentral:rRNA from 1 species
AAUAGUUUUUUAAUUGGAAACUGGGAUGAAUGAAGUGAUGAAAUUUAGACUGUCUUAAGUUAAUAAAUAAAUUUAUUAAUUGAGUAAAAAUACUUAAAUGUAAUUAUGGGACGAGAAGACCCUAUAGAAUUUAAUAUAAAUUAAGUUAAAGGAUGUUAAGAUGUGAGGUUUAAUUGGUUUAUAUUUUAUUGGGAGGAUGAGUAAAUUAGAGAAACUUUAAUUAUUAAGAGGCCAUUAAUGUAUGAGUUUAGGAUUAAGAGUGGCUAGAGUGAUAAGUUUAAGAAGAAUUAAUUACCUUAGGGAUAACAGCAUAAUAUUUUUAGAGAGAUCUUAUUAAUAAAAAUGAUUGU